rnacentral:rRNA from 1 species
GACGAACGCUGGCGGCGUGCCUAAUACAUGCAAGUAGAACGCUGAAGAGAGGAGCUUGCUCUUCUUGGAUGAGUUGCGAACGGGUGAGUAACGCGUAGGUAACCUGCCUUGUAGCGGGGGAUAACUAUUGGAAACGAUAGCUAAUACCGCAUAACAAUGGGUGACACAUGUCAUUUAUUUGAAAGGGGCAAUUGCUCCACUACAAGAUGGACCUGCGUUGUAUUAGCUAGUAGGUGAGGUAACGGCUCACCUAGGCGACGAUACAUAGCCGACCUGAGAGGGUGAUCGGCCACACUGGGACUGAGACACGGCCCAGACUCCUACGGGAGGCAGCAGUAGGGAAUCUUCGGCAGUGGGGGCAACCCUGACGGAGCAACGCCGCGUGAGUGAAGAAGGUUUUCGGAUCGUAAAGCUCUGUUGUAAGUCAAGAACGAGUGUGAGAGUGGAAAGUUCACACUGUGACGGUAGCUUACCAGAAAGGGACGGCUAACUACGUGCCAGCAGCCGCGGUAAUACGUAGGUCCCGAGCGUUGUCCGGAUUUAUUGGGCGUAAAGCGAGCGCAGGCGGUUUGAUAAGUCUGAAGUUAAAGGCUGUGGCUCAACCAUAGUUCGCUUUGGAAACUGUCAAACUUGAGUGCAGAAGGGGAGAGUGGAAUUCCAUGUGUAGCGGUGAAAUGCGUAGAUAUAUGGAGGAACACCGGUGGCGAAAGCGGCUCUCUGGUCUGUAACUGACGCUGAGGCUCGAAAGCGUGGGGAGCGAACAGGAUUAGAUACCCUGGUAGUCCACGCCGUAAACGAUGAG